rnacentral:lncRNA from 1 species
AAAUAUAUACUUUGUUCUUGUUACAGCCAUGUUGAGAUUGAUUGGAAGCUUGAGCUUUAUAUGGCUACUCAUGGCCACAUCCACAAUGGCUCAGACCUGGCCUGCUGUGCUUGAUGCAGAUGGCCAACCUCUUAGAAGUGGUGUAGAGUACUACGUCCUUCCAGCUGUAACUGAUGUUGCCGGUGGCUUAACCCUUGUUAACCGGAACAACGGUUCAAUAUGUCCACUCUUUGUUGGUCAAGAGCCUCUUGCACCUGUUGUGUCCCGAGGCACUUCAGUCAUAUUCACACCACGGGUAGCGGAUACUGUUGUAAGGGAGACAAGGGACUUCACUGUUGCAUUCACUGGUGUAACAAUUUGUGCUCAGUCUACUACAUGGAUGGUCGGUGAGCAGAAUCCAGAGACAAGGAGGAGGUAUAUCUUGGCUGAAACGGAUCCUAAUCCUUCUUCUAAUGCUUGGCACUUCAACAUCGUCAAGAAUGAUCAAGGCCUCUACAAUUUUCAAUGGUGUCCAAAUUGUCUCACCGGAGUUUGUCCUAAGCCUUUGUGUGGGGAUGCUGGUAUUGUGGUUGAGAAUGAAAGGAGAUUGUUGGUCUUGGAUGGUCCCGCCUUUCCUUUUAUAUUUAGAAGGGUUUGAAUAGUUUGUAAUAGCCUCCAUGUGUCAAGAAUAAUCAAUGACAUCUUGUCAAUGCAUUGCUAAUUAAUUAUAAAAUAAAUGGAGAUAUUCAAUUCUUAUAUAUAGCUUGGCCAAUAAAUAAAGGCUUUUAAUUUUGAUGAAUAUGAUAAUAUAUAAUCACUAAUGCUUACUAUUAUUGUUAAAUUAUGGUAAAAUUAUUCUGGGGUAUAUCCAUGUGUGUUGGAUAUACUCCUUGACAAGAUUUAUUAGUGAAUAGCUAUUUUCAAAGAGCCAAAUCACAAAAAAAAAAAAAAAACCUUAACUCGAGUUCCUUAUAUUAUUACUUGUAAGUUGAGAAAUACAAGUUAUAGAAUUCAAAUAAAAAAUGUACUCUACCUCCUGUAUAUCUAAAUGAUUUCUUUUUAAAAAUAAUAUUUCAAUCAUUAAUUUUAUUGUGCUGUGAGGGCUGAGACUGUUGUACAUGAUUGGGAUGAAGCUCAUAUGCAAAUUGUGCUUUAUAAACUCAUCACAAAACUUUAAUUGUUGCAUGUAUAAUUAGGACCAGAUUGCACAUGCUUGUCUUGUUUGGGGUUCGGAUUUUCCAACAGCCAUGAAAUCAUGCUAGAAGUGCAGUAUAUGCCAAACUAAUGAUUGAAUUUCUUCUCUCGCCAUGUUGACUGAGAGGAACUGCUCAAACAAACUUGGGCCCGAUGUGGAUAUGGAUCUGACCUUCAAUAACGUGCCCAAAUGAGCAACUUCUAUCAUGGGUCAAUUAUGGCGGCCCAUGUGGGAAACUUCUUUCCUGGUCAAUUAAAGUGGCCCAAGUAUAGCAAUUUGACCCAAAUACGAAAUCUGAAAUUGGUUUUGUUACAAGUUCCUGCCACCUCACUAGAAUUAGCCUCACACAAACUUGAUUAAAGUAACAGAUUUUGAAUCAUACAACAUAGGAGUAAUUCUUUCCUAUUACAUGAUUGCAGAUGAGAAAUGGAACUCAUUAAAAAGACUAUAACUUUAUAUAGCAAGCAAAGAAUAUACAAUUGUUAGAUUAAGUAUACCAUUUUAAUAAAAAUUAAUUAAUUAAAAAAACUAAGUUUGAGCAUUAGUUGCUAUUAAAUUUGUCCAUUCUAACGUGUUAAUAUGAGAUUUGAGAUUUGAUUGAUUUUUUAAUUGAACCAAUAAAAUAUUGACCUGAUAAAACUUAAUUGACCUGAUGGAAUAUUUUGUGAUCUAGUUGAUUUAGUCAAAUUUAAUCUAAAUUUAAUGAUUCAACAUAAAAAACAAUUAUUUAUAAUAAAAAUAAUUAAUUUAUAUUUAUAUGUAAUCCUUGAUUACUCAACAAUUUAAGUUUUCUCAGAAAUCUAUAUGUUUUAAUAUAAACCAGCUCAGAUUUCGCAAGUCUUAUAUAAAAGAUCGAGGACUCUACUCUCCAUUCAUAGCAAAGAUUUUUUGGAUUUCCUAAUAAUAUAAUAAGAACAUUAAUAAUAAUAAACAGAAAAUGAUUUCAAUUAGGCUGUGCUGGGAGACGCUUUCUCUCUAUCUCUUACGUUACUCCUCAUCAGAAAUUCAACUUGGAAUUCCUACUUUACUGUCAUGUGUACAGACAGGAUAGGGUUAUCUUGUUCGUUCAAACAACAAUAACUACGCUACGAGAAAUGGACUUUUCGUUGCCGUGCCUCCAUUGUUCAAAUCUUGUAAACUGCCGCAUACCACCGUGUGUGUACCACAUUUCCUAUAAAUAUCUAGCCCACGUAUUCUAUACCUUGAAAAGCGAUCACAUUACUCAGUUUCUUACCAAGUUUUUCAGUUUCUAAGCACAAACAGCACAGUACUGUUUUCUUGUGAUGUUGAGGUUGAUUGGAAGUUUAAGCUUCCUAUGGCUACUAAUGGCCAUAUCCACCAUGGCUCAAAGCCCUCCUGUGCUUGAUGCUGGAGGUGAACCUCUUAGAAGCGGUGUAGAAUACCUUGCAGACCCUGCUGUAGCUGAUGUUGCUGGUAGUUUAACUCUGGUGGCUCGCAAUGGAUCUUGCCCGUUUUAUGUUGGUCAAGAAUCUGCUAGAUCCGGUCGAGUAGGCAUUCCAGUCAUCUUUACACCAAGAAAUCCUCAAGAGACUAUCAUCACUGAAUCUACAGAGGUCACAGUUACAUUUUCAGGGGUUUCAACUUGUGUUCGAAACACUGCAUGGACUAUAGGUGGCGAAGAUCCACAGACGAGAAGGAGAUUUGUUGUGACUGGAGCUGAACCAUCCUACUUUCAAAUUAACAGCAGGAAUCAAUUGGGAGGUUCCUAUACUUUCCAAGGGUGCCCACAAUGUGUCGACGAACCAGAUUGUGGUAGGGCAACGUGUGGAACUGCUGGUAUUCUGAUUCAAAAUGGAACGAGAUUUUUAGUCCUAGAUGGUCCUGAGUUUACUUUUAUGUUUGUAAGGGCUAGUUAGGUUCAUUGGUCUCCAUAACAAAAAUAAAUAUAUAGAUAUGGCAUUUUGCCAUUGUAAUAGUAAAUAAAAUCAAGCCUUUCAUGUUAGAAUUAGGGCAUAAGUUGCUGAUUAUCCUCAGCAAAUUAUACUAUCGUUGUACUACUAGUAAAUAAAUGGAGAUUGAUCUUUCUUUCCCUGUGUCAUUUCGAAUUGUUUGUUUGAGCAUUGAGAAUCAAUGUGCUUAGUUGUCCGAAAUUGAAGGAUUAGUUCAAUUUGUAAUAAAUUUAUUGGUUAGAGGAAACGCAAGACACAGUAGACAUCAUCGAUCAAUUCUAAUUCCAAAUAGCAGUGAAAGAAAAGUCUCGAUAACAAAAAUAGUAUGCCAAUUUAGGAGCUAGAAUUUUAUAAUAUAUGAUUUGGAGGUACUAUUUUUAAAGGAUGUUGUCGUCUUUGAAUUUCUUAGGUUGUUAUUAUCACGUAAUAGAAAAUUUAUCUAGAAGUUCAUGAAUUUGAGGGAGCAUCGUCCUGGACAGCGUGUUGGUGUGUAGUAUAAUUUUGAGAAGGAAUGCUGAGUCAAAUAUGAAGAUAAGCCUCUCCCUUAUUCACAAUUUGCCCAAAAGUAUUAAAUUUAUUUCUCAAUUGAAAUUCGUUCCCAAGUACAAAACCCCUAACGACUUUGUGAUGGAUUUCUUGUAAGACUUCAUUGCCUAAUUGGCUACUAUUUGGUAGACUAACACAUUUAGCCACUACCUAGCAAAUUAUACAUCAUAAAUGGCGGAAGAGGGUUGGGAUAAGAGCUAGCAAUGGACUAAUUUGAGCCUUUUUUAAAGCCUUUUUUCACGUAUAGACAGAUGGACUUUUCGUUGCCGUGCUUAUUAUGUGAUAUCUUGUAGAAAAGUCGCAUGCCUGCCAGCGCCAGAUUUCCUAUAAAAAUCUAGUUACCAUGCAUAAACCACAAAGUGCAAAGACAUUACAAAUACACCAUUUCUCAUCAAGUUCAAGGUUGAUAACUAAGCUCGUACAAUUUAAUUUUGUUGUUUGACACAGGCAGCCAUGUUGAGGUUGAUUAGAGGUUUGAGCUUCAUUUGUCUACUGAUGGCUAUAUCAUGCUUGGCUCAGGGCCCUCCUGUGCUUGAUACUGAUGGAAUUCCUGUUACGAGAGGGGUAGAAUACUAUGUAGAUCCUGCUGCAACUGAUGUUGCUGGUGGCUUAACUCUAGUGACUCGCAAUGGAUCUUGUCCAUCUUAUGUUGGUCAGGUUCCUAUUGGACCUGGUAAUGUUCAAGGCCUUCCAGUCGUCUUCUCCCCAAGAAAUUCUAGCGAGACUGUCAUCACUGAAAAUACUCAAUUCACUGUUGCAUUUUCAGCUGCUACGAUUUGUGUUACAGAUACCACAUGGGGUAUAGGCGAGGAAGACCCGGAGACGACAAGGAGACUUAUUGUGAUUGGUGAUGAACCAGCCAUCUUUAGUAUUAGCCGUAAUCAAGCACCAGGUCCCUAUACUUUUGGCUAUUGCCCAGAAUGCAACACUCCUCCGCCGUGUGGGAGGCCAAGAUGUGGGAUUGCAGGUAUUCUGGAACAGAAUGGGACGAGGUUCUUAACCAUAGAUGGCCCUGCAUUUCCUUUCAGCUUUAGAAGGGCUUGAGUCCUUCUCCUUUGCAAAAUACAAGUAGAUGACGUUCUGGCAUUGUAAUAGUACAAAUAAAUCAUUUUAUAUUUAGAAUCGCUUAUGUUAUUCUCCAUAGAAGAAUAAGUGCCUUGGUGUCAUUGUAAUAUCAGGAAAUAAAUGGAGAUCUUUCUUGAUGCUUAGAAUUCAAGUUCGUUAUCUUUUAUAUAUAUAAAAAAGAAUAACCAUAACAACACCUGUGAUGAAAUAAAAAAAAUAAAAUUGCAAACACCAUGACCGAUAUAAAAAAUAUCUCUGGAGCUGUGAUACUAUAAACCAACAAAGACAUUCAAAACUGUGAAUCAAAACUGAAGCAUAGAAUGGAGGCAUGUAGUAUAUUAAAAAGACCAAAAAAUAAAUAGCCGAAAUAAGAUACUCUAAAAUAGCAGAUAUAUGUUAAAAUCUUACUAAUGUUUCAAGACUUCGAAACAUUGCCAAACAAUGCAAAGAUUUAAACAAGUUAUUGCCAAAUUCCUUGCAAAUCAAAUAAUUUCUAGCUGUGAGAUCACUAGAGGAGCUUUAAGAAACUGCUCAAAGUGCAAAAUCUUAGAGCGUUGCGAGAAACUUCAAGACAUUAGUAUAGUUAUUCUUGGGUUGGACUAGUAAUGUGAAUAGGAUUGGUUAACUGUAGCAAGACAAGAGCAUAAAGAGUUGAGUAUUCCUCAUUGUCUGAUCAUUUCUAGCAGUAAAACUAGGAAUUGUUCAAAAUGAAUAGUAUGCUCCAACCAACCCUUGUUUUAUUGUCUUUAAUUAAUUAAUUGGAUAAUAAAGACAACACACAGACUUUUCUCUAAGCAUAUCCACACACAUGAUAUUGAAAGUAGAUGAUUUUUUGGGAAAUUCAUUUGCUUUAAUUGUGGGUAUAGACUAGAAAUUUGGUCAAACUAAAUAUUCCUGCUACCUAGUUCCUGAUAAGUAACCAGCUCAAAGAAUUUGGAAGCGAUCAUUAAUUUUGUUCCGGUUGUGAAUAGUUCUCCUCCUCCUUCGAUUACUUGCACCAACAGAUCUCUUCAUAAUUAGUCCAUCCAUGAGACAGUAUUUCAAAUUAAGCUUACAAUCUAAGUAUUUCAGCUGCCAUUUUUUUGGUUUUACACUGUUCCUCGAGUUAAUUUUGUACAACGUUUGAUUAGUAUCGCCGAACAAAUAAAAAUAAAAACAGAUACAAAAAAAAAAUUGUUUGGUUAAAAGGAUAAGAACAAAAACAUAAAAUAAAUAUAUAUCUAUGGGAUAAAUAUAUAAUGAAUUUAUAUUUUUUAAAAAUUAAAUGGCACAUGGGAGCAUAUUUCCUCUGUUUUCAUCCUUCGAUUACUUGCUCCAACAGAUCUCUUCAUAAUUUAGUCCACCCAUGAGACAAUAUCCCUAAGUCUAUUAAGGACACCGUUAACUGGAUUCAUUAGAUAACAAUGCAACAGAUGAAAAUGGAUAAUUACCCAAGGACUUUUUUGUUGCCGUGCCGUAAUAGAGAAAUGUGGUAUGUCGACUCCUUCCACUAUAAAAAGAUGGCAAAUCUCAAGCAAAGGAUUACAAAUUGCUCAUAGCAUCUUAAUUUUAAGAACCAGCACAUAUAAUAUUUACUUCUUUUUUGUUGUGCGAGAUAGCUAGCUCUAGGCAGCCAUGUUGAGAUUGAUUGGAAGCUUGAGCUUUAUAUGGCUACUCAUGGCCACAUCCACAGUGGCUCAAACCUGGCCUGCUGUGCUUGAUGCAGAUGGCCAACCUCUUAGAAGUGGUGUAGAAUACUACGUACUUCCAGCUGCAACUGAUGUUGCCGGUGGCUUAACCCUUGUUAAUCUUAACAACGGUUCAAUAUGUCCACUUUGUUGGUCAAGAGCCUCUUGCACCUGUUGUGUCCCGAGGCACUUCAGUCAUAUUCACACCACGGGUUGCGGAUACUGUUGUAAGGGAGACAAGGGACUUCACUGUUGCAUUCACUGGUGUAACAAUUUGUGCUCAGUCUACUACAUGGAUGGUCGGUGAGCAGAAU